rnacentral:rRNA from 1 species
CGGAGGAUCCAAGCGUUAUCCGGAUUCAUUGGGUUUAAAGGGUGCGUAGGCGGAAUGAUAAGUCAGUGGUGAAAUCUCGGAGCUUAACUCCGAAACUGCCGUUGAUACUGUCAAUCUUGAGUACAUUUGAUGAGGGCGGAAUGUGUCAUGUAGCGGUGAAAUGCUUAGAUAUGACACAGAACACCGAUUGCGAAGGCAGCUCUCAAAACUGUAACUGACGCUGAGGCACGAAAGCGUGGGUAUCAAACAGGAUUAGAUACCCUGGUAGUCCACGCUGUAAACUAUGAUUACUCGAUGUUUGCGAUAUACUGUAAGCGUCUAAGCGAAAGCGAUAAGUAAUCCACCUGGGGAGUACGCUCGCAAGAGUG